rnacentral:rRNA from 1 species
GUGUCAGCCGCCGCGGUAAUACGGAGGGUGCAAGCGUUAUCCGGAUUCACUGGGUUUAAAGGGUGCGUAGGUGGGUUUGUAAGUCAGUGGUGAAAUCUCCGAGCUUAACUCGGAAACUGCCAUUGAUACUAUAGAUCUUGAAUCAUCUGGAGGUAAGCGGAAUAUGUCAUGUAGCGGUGAAAUGCUUAGAUAUGACAUAGAACACCAAUUGCGAAGGCAGCUUACUACGGGUGUAUUGACACUGAGGCACGAAAGCGUGGGGAUCAAACAGGAUUAGAUACCCGCGUAGUCC